GUGUAGUGUGAUUAGCACUCCAUUGUUGAACACCCUUUUAAGCAAGAGCAAUGAGAUAUUGCUUAAUCGGUUCACUAGCUUAAAAAUUCAAACACUUGUUUAAUAGCAUAAAAUGGGUUUUGAACACAAUUAAUUGAGAUGUAGAAAGAGAGAGGGAGAAGAAAUCUCAGCUCUUUCUUUGUACCUCUGUACAUUUAAGACUCUGUUUUCUCUGUGUUAU
rnacentral:lncRNA from 1 species